GGGGCACAGACCUGCUCAUCUGGAACAGCUGUGGACCUUACCUGCACAGAUCCUGAUGAUGUCAGACUGGUGGGAGGAUUCAGUCGCUGUAACGGUGAAGUACAGAUCAAACAUCAUGGAGAAUGGAGACACAUGGGACAUGGUACUUAUUAUGACCGUUGGACCCUGAAGACAGCGGAUGUCAUAUGUCGUCGACUGGACUGUGGAUCUGCUGUUUCUGUGACAACAUCUCAUUCAUAUGGUCUUAAGUGGGUCAUCAGCUCCAUCUGUCUUCUAUCUACAUCUGCACUGACGGACUGUGAGAGAACAGAUCCUCACCCCAGUGUCUACACCCUGUUCCUCAACUGUUUAGACUCUGUCAGACUGGUCCAUGGUUCCAGUCGGUGUUCAGGCAGACUGGAGGUCCGGUCU